CUCCUGGAAACGGGUGGUAAUGCCGGAUGUUCCACAUGAGCGCAUGCGAGUGUGGGAAAGGCUUUUGCGGCAUGGGAUGGGGUCGCGUCCUAUCAGCUUGUUGGUGGGGUAACGGCCUACCAAGGCGUUGACGGGUAGCCGGCCUGAGAGGGCGACCGGCCACAUUGGGACUGAGAUACGGCCCAGACUCCUACGGGAGGCAGCAGUGGGGAAUAUUGCACAAUGGGCGCAAGCCUGAUGCAGCGACGCCGCGUGCGGGAUGGAGGCCUUCGGGUUGUAAACCGCUUUUGUUCAAGGGCAAGGCAGGCUUUCGGGCCUGUUGAGUGGAUUGUUCGAAUAAGCACCGGCUAACUACGUGCCAGCAGCCGCGGUAAUACGUAGGGUGCAAGCGUUAUCCGGAUUUAUUGGGCGUAAAGGGCUCGUAGGCGGUUCGUCGCGUCCGGUGUGAAAGUCCAUCGCUUAACGGUGGAUCCGCCCCGGGUACGGGCGGGCUUGAGUGCGGUACGGGAGACUGGAAUUCCCGGUGUAACGG
rnacentral:rRNA from 1 species